rnacentral:rRNA from 1 species
AUUGAACGCUGGCGGCAGGCUUAACACAUGCAAGUCGAGCGAGCGGCGGACGGGUGAGUAAUGUCUGGGAAACGGCCUGAUGGAGGGGGAUAACUACUGGAAACGGUAGCUAAUACCGCAUACUAUCGGAUGAACCCCAAUGGGAUUAGCUAGUAGGUGGGGUAAAGGCUCACCUAGGCGACGAUCUCUAGCUGGUCUGAGAGGAUGAUCAGCCACACUGGGACUGAGACACGGCCCAGACUCCUACGGGAGGCAGCAGUGGGGAAUAUUGCACAAUGGGCGCAAGCCUGAUGCAGCCAUGCCGCGUGUAUGAAGAAGGCCUUCGGGUUGUAAAGUACUUUCAGUCGGGAGGCGUUACCGACAGAAGAAGCACCGGCUAACUCCGUGCCAGCAGCCGCGGUAAUAC